GAUGAACGCUGGCGGCGUGCCUAAUACAUGCAAGUCGAACGCACCGCAAGGUGAGUGGCGAACGGGUGAGUAAGACGUAAGUAACCUAGCCUAGACAGGGGGAUAACUGUUGGAAACGACAGCUAAGACCGCAUAGGUAUAUGUAUCGCAUGAUGGAUAUAUAAAAAGUGCUACGGGACUGGUAGAGGAUGGACUUACGGCGCAUUAGCUAGUUGGUGAGGUAGAGGCUCACCAAGGCGACGAUGCGUAGCCGACCUGAGAGGGUGGACGGCCACACUGGGACUGAGACACGGCCCAG
rnacentral:rRNA from 1 species